rnacentral:rRNA from 1 species
UACGUAGGGUCCGAGCGUUGUCCGGAAUUAUUGGGCGUAAAGGGCUCGUAGGCGGUUUGUCGCGUCGGGAGUGAAAACCUACAGCUUAACUGUGGGCUUGCUUUCGAUACGGGCAGACUUGAGGCAUGCAGGGGGAGAACGUACUUCUGGUGUAGCGGUGAAAUGCGCAGAUAUCGGGAGGAACACCAGAGGCGAAGGCGGGCUACUGGGCUGAUACUGACGCUGAUGCGCGAAAGCCAGGGGAGCAAACGGG